AGAGUUUGAUCAUGGCUCAGAUUGAACGCUGGCGGCAUGCCUUACACAUGCAAGUCGAACGGCAGCACGGGGACAACCCUGGUGGCGAGUGGCGAACGGGUGAGUAAUACAUCGGAACGUGUCCUGUAGUGGGGGAUAGCCCGGCGAAAGCCGGAUUAAUACCGCAUACGAUCUACGGAAGAAAGCGGGGGAUCGCAAGACCUCGCGCUAUAGGGGCGGCCGAUGGCAGAUUAGCUAGUUGGUGGGGUAAAGGCCUACCAAGGCGACGAUCUGUAGCUGGUCUGAGAGGACGACCAGCCACACUGGGACUGAGACACGGCCCAGACUCCUACGGGAGGCAGCAGUGGGGAAUUUUGGACAAUGGGGGAAACCCUGAUCCAGCAAUGCCGCGUGUGUGAAGAAGGCCUUCGGGUUGUAAAGCACUUUUGUCCGGAAAGAAAACCUUCGAGUUAAUACCUUGGGGGGAUGACGGUACCGGAAGAAUAAGCACCGGCUAACUACGUGCCAGCAGCCGCGGUAAUACGUAGGGUGCGAGCGUUAAUCGGAAUUACUGGGCGUAAAGCGUGCGCAGGCGGUUCGUUAAGACAGAUGUGAAAUCCCCGGGCUUAACCUGGGAACUGCAUUUGUGACUGGCGAGCUAGAGUAUGGCAGAGGGGGGUAGAAUUCCACGUAGCAGUGAAAUGCGUAGAGAUGUGGAGGAAUACCGAUGGCGAAGGCAGCCCCCUGGGCCAAUACUGACGCUCAUGCACGAAAGCGUGGGGAGCAAACAGGAUUAGAUACCCUAGUAGUCC
rnacentral:rRNA from 1 species